rnacentral:rRNA from 1 species
UACAGAGGGUGCGAGCGUUGUCCGGAAUCACUGGGCGUAAAGGGCGCGUAGGUGGCGGCCCAAGUCCAUGGUGAAAGCUCGUCGCUCAACGACGAGUCGGCCACGGAUACUGGGUUGCUCGAGCACUGUAGAGGCAGAUGGAAUUCCGGGUGUAGCGGUGGAAUGCGUAGAGAUCCGGAAGAACACCGGUGGCGAAGGCGGUCUGCUGGGCAGUAGCUGACACUGAGGCGCGACAGCGUGGGGAGCAAACGGG